rnacentral:rRNA from 1 species
AAAUUGAAGAGUUUGAUCAUGGCUCAGAUUGAACGCUGGCGGCAGGCCUAACACAUGCAAGUCGAGCGGAAACGAGUUAUCUGAACCUUCGGGGAAGGAUAACGGCGUCGAGCGGCGGACGGGUGAGUAAUGCCUAGGAAAUUGCCCUGAUGUGGGGGAUAACCAUUGGAAACGAUGGCUAAUACCGCAUGAUGCCUACGGGCCAAAGAGGGGGACCUUCGGGCCUCUCGCGUCAGGAUAUGCCUAGGUGGGAUUAGCUAGUUGGUGAGGUAAGGGCUCACCAAGGCGACGAUCCCUAGCUGGUCUGAGAGGAUGAUCAGCCACACUGGAACUGAGACACGGUCCAGACUCCUACGGGAGGCAGCAGUGGGGAAUAUUGCACAAUGGGCGCAAGCCUGAUGCAGCCAUGCCGCGUGUGUGAAGAAGGCCUUCGGGUUGUAAAGCACUUUCAGUCGUGAGGAAGGUAGUGUAGUUAAUAGCUGCAUUAUUUGACGUUAGCGACAGAAGAAGCACCGGCUAACUCCGUGCCAGCAGCCGCGGUAAUACGGAGGGUGCGAGCGUUAAUCGGAAUUACUGGGCGUAAAGCGCAUGCAGGUGGUUUGUUAAGUCAGAUGUGAAAGCCCGGGGCUCAACCUCGGAAUUGCAUUUGAAACUGGCAGACUAGAGUACUGUAGAGGGGGGUAGAAUUUCAGGUGUAGCGGUGAAAUGCGUAGAGAUCUGAAGGAAUACCGGUGGCGAAGGCGGCCCCCUGGACAGAUACUGACACUCAGAUGCGAAAGCGUGGGGAGCAAACAGGAUUAGAUACCCUGGUAGUCCACGCCGUAAACGAUGUCUACUUGGAGGUUGUGGCCUUGAGCCGUGGCUUUCGGAGCUAACGCGUUAAGUAGACCGCCUGGGGAGUACGGUCGCAAGAUUAAAACUCAAAUGAAUUGACGGGGGCCCGCACAAGCGGUGGAGCAUGUGGUUUAAUUCGAUGCAACGCGAAGAACCUUACCUACUCUUGACAUCCAGAGAACUUUCCAGAGAUGGA